rnacentral:rRNA from 1 species
GACGAGCGCUGGCGGCGUGCCUAAUACAUGCAAGUAGAACGCUGAAGAGAGGAGCUUGCUCUUCUUGGAUGAGUUGCGAACGGGUGAGUAACGCGUAGGUAACCUGCCUUGUAGCGGGGGAUAACUAUUGGAAACGAUAGCUAAUACCGCAUAACAAUGGAUGACACAUGUCAUUUAUUUGAAAGGGGCAAUUGCUCCACUACAAGAUGGACCUGCGUUGUAUUAGCUAGUAGGUGAGGUAAUGGCUCACCUAGGCGACGAUACAUAGCCGACCUGAGAGGGUGAUCGGCCACACUGGGACUGAGACACGGCCCAGACUCCUACGGGAGGCAGCAGUAGGGAAUCUUCGGCAAUGGGGGCAACCCUGACCGAGCAACGCCGCGUGAGUGAAGAAGGUUUUCGGAUCGUAAAGCUCUGUUGUAAGUCAAGAACGGGUGUGAGAGUGGAAAGUUCACACUGUGACGGUAGCUUACCCGAAAGGGACGGCUAACUACGUG